GUGGGGAAUAUUGCGCAAUGGGGGAAACCCUGACGCAGCAACGCCGCGUGAUUGAAGAAGGCCUUCGGGUUGUAAAGAUCUUUAAUUCGGGACGAAAAAAAUGACGGUACCGAAAGAAUAAGCUCCGGCUAACUACGUGCCAGCAGCCGCGGUAAUACGUAGGGAGCAAGCGUUAUCCGGAUUUACUGGGUGUAAAGGGCGCGCAGGCGGGCUUGCAAGUUGGGAGUGAAAUCCCGGGGCUCAACCCCGGAACUGCUUUCAAAACUGUGAGUCUUGAGUGAUGGAGAGGCAGGCGGAAUUCCCAGUGUAGCGGUGAAAUGCGUAGAUAUUGGGAGGAACACCAGUGGCGAAGGCGGCCUGCUGGACAUUAACUGACGCUGAGGCGCGAAAGCGUGGGGAGCAAACAGGAUUAGAAACCCGUGUAGUCC
rnacentral:rRNA from 1 species